CAGCCGCCACGGUAAUACGUAGGUGGCAAGCGUUGUCCGGAAUUAUUGGGCGUAAAGGGCUCGCAGGCGGUUUCUUAAGUCUGAUGUGAAAGUCCCCGGCUCAACCGGGGAGGGUCAUUGGAAACUGGGAAACUUGAGUGCAGAAGAGGAGAGUGGAAUUCCACGUGUAGCGGUGAGAUGCGCAGAGGUGUGGAGGAACACCAGUGGCGAAGGCGGCUCUCUGGUCUGUAACUGACGCUGAGGAGCGAAAGCGUGGGGAGCGAACAGGAUUAGAUACCCCGGUAGUCCCUGUCUCUUAUAC
rnacentral:rRNA from 1 species